GAUAGGUGAGAGUUGUUUCUGGUACCCACUGGUGGUAGGGAAUUCAAAUUUGAAUUUGAAUUAAAGAUUUAGGGUUUAUGCUUUGGUAUAUGUGCGAUAUACGGAUUAAUUAGAGAGCGGAUGGGUUCCGUCGCGAAUCCGUGACCAAAUCGGACGAAUCAACAUUGNACAAGUGGUGUAUUGAGCUGAGGUCAGUAAUUGUCCACUGGGAACUAUAAAUUAUAGUUCUCACGCCCUCUGUUUUAUGUCUUAUUUCAGAGG
rnacentral:lncRNA from 1 species